rnacentral:rRNA from 1 species
UAGGGAAACUUACGCUAAUACCGCAUACGACCUACGGGUGAAAGCAGGGGAUCUUCGGACCUUGCGCGAUUGAAUGAGCCGAUGUCGGAUUAGCUAGUUGGCGGGGUAAAGGCCCACCAAGGCGACGAUCCGUAGCUGGUCUGAGAGGAUGAUCAGCCACACUGGAACUGAGACACGGUCCAGACUCCUACGGGAGGCAGCAGUGGGGAAUAUUGGACAAUGGGCGCAAGCCUGAUCCAGCCAUACCGCGUGGGUGAAGAAGGCCUUCGGGUUGUAAAGCCCUUUUGUUGGGAAAGAAAUCCAGCCGGCUAAUACCCGGUUGGGAUGACGGUACCCAAAGAAUAAGCACCGGCUAACUUCGUGCCAGCAGCCGCGGUAAUACGAAGGGUGCAAGCGUUACUCGGAAUUACUGGGCGUAAAGCGUGCGUAGGUGGUCGUUUAAGUCCGUUGUGAAAGCCCUGGGCUCAACCUGGGAACUGCAGUGGAUACUGGGCGACUAGAGUGUGGUAGAGGGUAGCGGAAUUCCUGGUGUAGCAGUGAAAUGCGUAGAGAUCAGGAGGAACAUCCAUGGCGAAGGCAGCUACCUGGACCAACACUGACA